ACUGCAAAGCAAACUCAGAUACCCGUGCACUUAAAGGGCAACCUUUCCUUGCUGCACGAUCAUGACCUCAGCAAAAUAAAGAAAGAAAUCAACUCCAUUGCAAACACUCUGAAGUCAGAUUUCACAUGCUCACAGCUCAGAACGGCUACUUCCAGCCUCGAGUUCUUGCUUACCUGACAGUGUAAUGGAUGUGUGUUGGUCUCACAAGCAUCACGAGUCAUGUUCUAGCUUUGAGCCUUCUUGCCAUGUGGCUCCUGGGUUAAAUCUGUGCCAGUGCUACAAGACUACAUUUAAACAGUCUUUCAGCAAAGAAAGACUUCCCAGUGAAGUCAAGAAAUUUGGAAGAAAUUAACUCGUGCUAGUUAACAAAAACUCUGUCUGGGGCUACUGUUUUCUAAUAGUGCCUGCUGUUUGCCCCCUCUACUGCUUUACAAAAUGCAAUUCUGUCUUCUGAUCACGCAGGACUGAUGUGAGCAAUUUCCUGUCCUUUGUAAAAAUUGCUUCCGAGUCUGAAAAGUGCUGUGGGCUGCACAGUGCCUGCAGGUCGAGAUGCAGGACAGCCCUGGCUGAAUGGGGCCAGGCUGUUGUUGUCUCCUCUACCUCCCCCUUCAGUCCCACAGUCUGGGGAACAAACUGAGACUGGGGCAGGCAGAGGUAAGGGCUAUCCAAUGUGUAUUUUGUAGUCCUGUGGAAGAUACCUGGAAAUUACAAUAUAACCCACAGCUGUUUUAUCUAUUCAGAAUAGCUAUAUGUCCCUUUAAAACAGUUACUAGGAAAAUAAUAAAACUCUUCUUCCUUGAUGACCUGUCAAAUACGUGAAUUUAUAGCUUUAUAUGAAAGGUCUUGUAUGUGUGCAGAUCAUAGAAUCAUAGAACUGCAAGGUUGGAAAGGACCUGUAAGAUCAUCCAAUCCAACCGCCCUCCCAUCACCACUGCUACCACAAACUAACCCGUGUCUCAUAGCUCCUCAUCCAGACGCUUCUCGAACGCUGCCAGGGACGGCAACUCCACCACCUCCCUGGGCAGCCAUUCCAGUGCCUGACCAUUCGCUGAGAGAAAAAGUUCUUCCUUAUUUCCAACCUAAACCUCCUCUGGUACAACUUGUGGCCAUUUCCCCGGAUCCUGUUUGUUGCCUGGGAGAAAAGGCCAAACCCCUCCUCAUCACAGCCUUCCUUCAGGAAGUUGCAGAACACCAUGAGGUGUCCUCUGAGCCUCCUCUUCUCCAGACUGAACAAUCCCAGCUCCCUCAGCCGCUCCUCAUAGACCUGUGCUCCAGACCCCUCACCAGUUUCGUCGCCCUUCCCUGGACACGCUCCAGGGUCUCAGUGUCUUUCCGUCUACAUACAGGACACAAAAAGCAACGCUGUGCAGACCUGGAGUCUCCACAUUCACGUGGACAUGCUCGCCGCCCCUGUUGGGGGGAUGAAACUUGCGAACUGAACCCGUGACGCCAGUGAUUCGAACUGGCAAUUCCCUGGCUGCAGCUCUUUGUCCCUCUCGGCACAGUCAAGCUGUUCAAAAUCACAGCACUUGUAGAACAGAAGCUGAACUUAAUCACAUAUUUUGUGCUUGCAAAAAACAUGUUUAAGAAGAAGCAGAAAUUUUUUAAAGGAAUAGUGUCUUGAAACCACUUCUGUUAGAAUUGUUUCACAGAGUACAGCCAACAACAAAUGAGAGGAAGUCAAGCAACAGAAGGGGCACGUAAGAAUCUCUGGCUGUAACUGAUUCUGCUACUUCUUUGUUUAAUCAUAAUUCCAAGUGGCGGAAGCGGGUGUAGCAGGAAAAGCAAAUAACAAGAAGCCAAAUGACAGAUUAAAGUCUUUUCUAAUUUAGACUUAAAGUCUGACCGAACUACCACAGCGCUGUUUCACUUCCCAUUAUUUUUAAUGCAAAUUUUCCCAGCAUAUGGUUAAGAAAAUUAUUAUUUUAACAAUACAGGGAUAGCUGCAGAAACCUCCCAACUCUGUCGCCACUGUCAGAGACAAUAUUUCUCUAAACAGUCACACUAAACUGGGAAGAAAGUAAUGAAAAGGAGCAGAAAAGGGAAAAAGAAGGUGAAAUGGAUGAAAAGUCAUGUACAAUUACUAUUUUAUUUCUGUCUGCCCAGUGCUACGGCACUGCAAAACCAAACCACUAACAGGAAGAACACAAGAAAGCAGUGUUAGUAUGUUCAAAGAGUCUUUCAGAUGUUCUGAAAAUCGAACCAUAAAUGAAAAAGCCCAGCUCCUCUCUGCAGUCUUAUCUCAACGGUCAGUUCAGAUAUCAUAUAUCAAAAAGAGUUUAUUCACUGAGUUUGGACAAGUCGGGAGGAUCUGAGUAAUUCUGAAAAUGGAAUAAGAACCAGGAUCUUUCCAAUGAUGUCACUGGCAAUGCAAAAUUCAUAUCUCAGGCUGCCUUCUCGUUGGGCCUCCGUCAAAUUAUGUUUAUGUUGGCGUAAAUGAAAAAUGACUUCACUGAUGCCAGCACAAUUAAAGUGGUGUAAAACCACGAUGAGGUCGUCCAUAGCUAUAUUCUUGUGUCGUGAGUCAACCUACUGUCAAGAAUGCAAAGCAAUAAUCACACAUUAAUUUGUACAAUCAUCAUUUGGAUGUCUCUUCUCUCAUUUGUACACAAUGUCCUCGAAAAGCAUGAGCAAAACAAAUGCAAUAUCAUUUGUAAAUAGAGCUGCUACACUGGGUUUGCACAGAAUCUCUGGGAAAUAAAAUGCAUUCUUUCAACA